UUAGUUGAACUCGUGAGUCUGGUUUCGAGUUGGGGAGUCCAAAGGUUUUUUUUUUUAAAAACUCAAAAUGAUAUCAUUUGUAAACCAAAAAUCAUACAAAGUUACCGUGCUUUUGUUGUUCAUUGUGUUCGUGGUUGCCUUUUCGUUGUCGCUUGUCUUAUCUCUGUUUGUCAUCGACGCGCUCGUGGUUACUUUCGUAUCAAUUCCGACCAUGCAAGGGUCAGGUUGGUGGUCUACAAUGGUUACAUUUGUCUCAUGCGGUGGAUACGUUCUUCUCGUGCAAUGGUUGUUGUUUCUUUAGGUAUGUGUAAAUCUCACAAG
rnacentral:lncRNA from 1 species